rnacentral:rRNA from 1 species
AACGAACGAUGGCGGCAGGUUUACCACAUGCAAGUCGAGUGCCCCGCAAGGGGAGCGGCAGACGCGUGCGUAACGAGUGGGAAUCGACCCAUCACUACGGGCUCACGCAUGGACACGUGUGCUAAUACCGGAUACGUCCUACGGGAGAAAGCGUUAUCAGAGUGGGGUGAGACCGCGUUGGAUUAGCGAGUUGGAGGGGGAAAGGCCUACCAAGGCGACGAGCCAUAGCUUGUCUGAGAGGAUGAUCAGCCACACUGGGAGGGAGACACGGCCCAGUCUCCUGCUGGAAGGAGCAGUGGUGAAUAUUGGAUAAUGGGCGCAAGCCUGAACCAGCCAUGCCGCGUGAGUGAUGAAGUCCCUAGGGUUGUAAAGCUCUUUCACCGGUAAAGAUAAUGACGGUAACCGGAGAAGAAGCCCCGGCUAACUUCGUGCCAGCAGCCGCGGUAAGAC